rnacentral:rRNA from 1 species
CGACCGGCAAACGGGUGCGGAACACGUACGCAACCUUCCUUCAAGCGAGGGAUAGCCCAGAGAAAUUUGGAUUAAUACCUCAUAGGAAUGUAGUCUCGCAUGAGACAGCAUUUAAAGAUUUAUCACUUGAAGAUGGGCGUGCGUCUGAUUAGGUAGUUGGUGAGGUAACGGCUCACCAAGCCGACGAUCAGUAACUGGCGUGAGAGCGCGACCAGUCACACGGGCACUGAGACACGGGCCCGACUCCUACGGGAGGCAGCAGUAAGGAAUAUUGGUCAAUGGACGCAAGUCUGAACCAGCCAUGCCGCGUGGAGGAUGAAGGCCCUCUGGGUUGUAAACUUCUUUUAUUUGGGACGAAACACUUUCUUUCUAGAGAGCUUGACGGUACCAGAUGAAUAAGCACCGGCUAACUCCGUGCCAGCAGCCGCGGUAAUACGGAGGGUGCAAGCGUUAUCCGGAUUCACUGGGUUUAAAGGGUGCGUAGGCGGAUAUGUAAGUCCGUGGUGAAAUCUCCGAGCUUAACUCGGAAACUGCCAUGGAUACUAUAUAUCUUGAAUGUUGUGGAGGUUAGCGGAAUAGUUCAUGUAGCGGUGAAAUGCUUAGAUAUGACCUAGAACACCGAUUGCGAAGGCAGCUGGCUACACAACGAUUGACGCUGAGGCACGAAAGCGUGGGGAUCAAACAGGAUUAGAUACCCUGGUAGUCCACGCCCUAAACGAUGAUUACUCGACAUUUGCGAUAUACAGUAAGUGUCUGAGCGAAAGCAUUAAGUAAUC